UACAGAGGGUGCGAGCGUUAAUCGGAAUUACUGGGCGUAAAGCGCACGUAGGCGGCUUGGUAUGUCGGGUGUGAAAUCCCCGGGCUCAACCUGGGAACUGCAUCCGAAACUGCCUUGCUCGAGUAUGGGAGAGGGAAGCGGAAUUUCCGGUGUAGCGGUGAAAUGCGUAGAUAUCGGAAGGAACAUCAGUGGCGAAGGCGGCUUCCUGGACCAAUACUGACGCUCAGGUGCGAAAGCGUGGGGAGCAAACAGGAUUAGAAACCCCAGUAGUCC
rnacentral:rRNA from 1 species